rnacentral:lncRNA from 1 species
UCAACACCAGGACAACAAAUGGUUCCUCACUCCAGUUGACCCCACUCAGCCUCACCAACUGCAGGUGCUCCACUACCUAUGUUUUUAAGGGCCUGCUGCACCCAGGAAAUCUUCACCUACCUGUGAGACAAUAAGCAGCCACUGAAGGUUUCUGAGCAGAAGAAGUAUUGCAGAAGCAAAGUCAUUAAGGCAAUUAAUCUGAGGGCUGUGUCGAUGGUGGCUUGGGAGUGGGGCAGAGACGUGGCAAUAACUCACACAGGAGAAAUUCGAUGGAGAAAAUGAAAGAAAGGUGGAUUGAAUGCCAGCGUGUUCACAUUUGUCAUGCUGGACCAUCCCACAGUGACACUCCCACAAUGCCGCUGGGCACGCUGCAGCCUCCUGCACACUGCUGGGGUGGGUGUCCGGGUGGUCCUCCCGCAGGCAUUAUCUCAGUAAAGGUCUCUGAGAUCACACUGC